GACAGAGGCCUCAAGCGUUAGGCGGAAUCACUGGGCUUAAAGCGUGUGUAGGCGGGUGCUCAAGUCUGUGGUGAAAUCCUCCGGCUCAACCGGAGAACUGCCAUGGAUACUGGGUGCCUCGAGGGUGGUAGGGGUAUGCGGAACUAUCGGUGGAGCGGUGAAAUGCGUUGAUAUCGAUAGGAACUCCGGUGGCGAAGGCGGCAUACUGGACCACUUCUGACGCUGAGGCGCGAAAGCCAGGGGAGCAAACGGG
rnacentral:rRNA from 1 species